GUCUUUUUGAGUAUAAUUUAAAGUCUGGCCUGCCCACUGAUUUAUUGAAUGGCCGCAGUAUUUUGACUGUGCAAAGGUAGCAUAAUCAUUAGUUUUUUAAUUAAGAACUGGAAUGAAAGGUUGAACGAGAAAAUAACUGUCUCUUUAUAAAUUAUUUAGAAUUUUAUUUUUAAGUUAAAAAGCUUAAAUAAAAUUAAAAGACGAGAAGACCCUAUAGAGUUUAAUAUAAUAAUAAAUAAUUAUUUAAUUUGAAUUUUUUAAUUAUUAAUUAUUUUUAUAUUUGAUUGGGGUGAUUAAAAAAUUUAUUGAACUUUUUUUUUAUUAAAACAUUUAUUUAUGAUAAAUUGAUCCAUUAUUAAUGAUUAUAAGAUUAAAUUACCUUAGGGAUAACAGCGUUAUUUCUUUUAAGAGUUCUAAUCGAUAAAGAAGUUUGCGACCUCGAUGUUGGAUUAAAAUUAAAUUUUGGUGUAGAAGCUAAAAUAUUAGGUCUGUUCGACCUUUAAAAUUUUACA
rnacentral:rRNA from 1 species